rnacentral:rRNA from 1 species
UUCCGGUUGAUCCCGCCGGAAGCCACUGCUAUUGGGAUCCGACUAAGCCAUGCGAGUCGAGAGGGUUCGGCCCUCGGCAGACUGCUCAGUAACACGUGGAUAACCUAACCUUAGGUGGAAGAUAACCUCGGGAAACUGAGAAUAAUAUUCCAUAGAUCUAGGAUGCUGGAAUGCAUCUAGAUUGAAAGUUCCGACGCCUAAGGAUGGGUCUGCGGACUAUCAGGUUGUAGUCAGGGUAAAGACCUGACUAGCCUACGACGGAUAUGGGUUGUGAGAGCAAUAGCCCAGAGACGAUAUCUGAGACACGAUAUCGGGCCCUACGGGGCGCAGCAGGCGCGAAAUCUUCACAAUGUGCGAAAGCACGAUGAGGGGAUCCUAAGUGCUGGCACGUAAGUGUCAGCUGUUUCUUAGUCUAAAAAACUGAGAGAGUAAGGGCUGGGUAAGACGGGUGCCAGCCGCCGCGGUAAUACCUGCAGCUCAAAUGGUGGCCGCUAUUAUUGGGCCUAAAACGUCCGUAGCCUGUUUAGUAAAUGCUUGGGUAAAUUGUGUAGCUUAACUAUACGAAUACCGGGUAGACUGCUAAACUUGGGACCGGGAGAGGCUAGAGGUACUCCUGGGGUAGAGGUGAAAUUCUGUAAUCCUAGGGGGACCACCAGUGGCGAAGGCGUCUAGCUAGAACGGGUCUGACGGUGAGGGACGAAGCCCUGGGGCGCAAACCGGAUUAGAUACCCGGGUAGUCCAGGGUGUAAACGCUGCUUGCUUGAUGUUAGUUGGGCUCCGAGCCCAACUAGUGUCGGAGAGAAGUUGUUAAGCAAGCUGCCUGGGAAGUACGGUCGCAAGACUGAAACUUAAAGGAAUUGGCGGGGGAGCACAGCAACGGGUGGAGCGUGCGGUUUAAUUGGAUUCAACGCCGGAAAUCACUAGUGCGGCCGCCUGCAGGUCGACCAUAU